rnacentral:rRNA from 1 species
AUUGAACGCUGGCGGCAUGCUUUACACAUGCAAGUCGAACGGUAACAGGCCUUCGGGCGCUGACGAGUGGCGAACGGGUGAGUAAUGCAUCGGAACGUGCCCAGUCGUGGGGGAUAACUAUCCGAAAGGAUAGCUAAUACCGCAUACGAUCUGCGGAUGAAAGCGGGGGACCUUCGGGCCUCGCGCGAUUGGACCGGCCGAUGUCGGAUUAGGUAGUUGGUGGGGUAAAGGCUCACCAAGCCAACGAUCUGUAGCUGGUCUGAGAGGACGACCAGCCACACUGGGACUGAGACACGGCCCAGACUCCUACGGGAGGCAGCAGUGGGGAAUUUUGGACAAUGGGCGCAAGCCUGAUCCAGCAAUGCCGCGUGCAGGAAGAAGGCCUUCGGGUUGUAAACUGCUUUUGUACGGAACGAAACGGCUCUGGUUAAUACCCGGGGCUAAUGACGGUACCGUAAGAAUAAGCACCGGCUAACUACGUGCCAGCCGCCGCCGUAAAAC